CCCCCCAACAAAAAAUCCAGUCCCUCUUUAAACGUACAUUGCUCUCACACUUGUUUUAACUAAAUGAUUACCAUAUAUAUAUUGAAAUCAUUUCAACAACAUGCUCCUGUCGUACUGACGUGUUUUCAUUCAGCAAAGCUCUGCAUGACCUGCAUCUUCAAGGUCACAAAAAGUUUGUCUUUCUUGAACUGGUUUCCUGAUUUAUUUGGAUAACAGACGCUUUUUCUAUCGACACUGCCACUCUCUUGACUCUUGUAGAUCGAACUUUAACAGAUUGAAGGUCAGAAUGUUUGUUCCGAUUCCACAGACCUGUUACCUGUUACCUAUUCUGUAAAUUCCACCUUUUCCAGAUGAACCACUUCAGUUGGGAAAUCCUAAGGUAAAGGUAUGGGGAAAUCUGGAUUUAGAAUAUUUUUUUGUCAUCUGCUUGACCACAAUAAAGUCAAUGCUUAAUAGAUAGAGCAAUAAUUUCCCUUAUACAGUUUAAUAAAACAAAUUUAAAAUUCAGAAAUAAAGAUAAUUCAUUUAAUCAAGACUACUAAAUAUGGACCUAUUCAAGUACACCUUUUAGGGUGUGCUUGACUGGAUUGUAUUUUUAUAUGUUGUGUAGGACUUUUUGUAAACGAUAAAUGCUGGCAUGGACAUAAUACUUGUGUAUACAACUGUGCAAGUAUUGAACAUCGCAGCUUGAAAUUUAUGCAAUGUGACCUAAAAGACAACAUAAUAAUGGACAGAUGUUCUCUGGUUGUUCGUACUUGUUGGCCACACACAUGAAGAUAUUGAUCCUGCUUUCAGCUAAUAUCAGAAAAAUUAAGAACAAAGGAUGCUGAAACUGUGCAGUCACUGUUCAGGAUUAUUCCAGAUGUUUAAAAAGUGAAAUUAUAAUACAAUAUAUGUUACUGGUUAAUUCCUAUGAUUAGUAAUUUUAAACAACACACAGAGACUUUGCAUUAUUGUUUUACAAGAGCGACACCAAAAGAUGCAGUCAACAUUUAUCAUUUUUAUCAAAAUACACCCAGGACAAACCAUGGAUACACUUAGACUGAAAUUUGGUGCUUUCUUACCAAAAUUGCCUGGACGUAAAAGAAAUGAAGAACCUAAAUUCAUGACAACAAUCAGGAGAUACCAGAAGAACUAGUAUAAAUGGUUAAAGAUGAAAGAAUGCAGAAUAAGGCAGGAUUGAAAGGAAGAAAGAACUAGUCAUCAGUAAAGAAACAGAUCAAUUUAUAUAACAUGUAAUAAUUCCAUCUGAAUAUAACAAACAUUGCACAUGUUAUGAAGAUUUGUUCACAUGUCUACUCUGAUUUGUAGUUAUGCAUUUGUAAUAUUAUAUAGUACAUGUAUUUUAUUUUAGAACAGUAUUUUUUUUUUGCUGUGGAGAACAUCAAAGAAAUUUAGAAAAAUAUAAUUAAAGAUAGUUUCUUCCAUUUUUUCUGUGACAAAAAAAAAUUGUGCAAAUUAGGACAAUGAAAUGAGGCUAUAUUAUUAAAUAUUUUUGAGUUUUAUUUUUUUUUACAUCCUAUUUUAAAAUUUCAUUGGCAUUUGAAGUAAUGAGUUGAAACCAGUUUUUAUCAAUCAUUUUGUUUUCAAGAUGUACAAACAGUACAGUAGGUUAAGUCUUUGGUGUACAUUAGUUUACUAUGAUGUUAAGGUCAAAUAAACUUGAAACUUUGUACUUACAAGUGUUCAUUAUGAAGUCAUUUUUAUACGACCGCAAAAAUUAAAAAUUUUUUGGUCAUAUAUUGGUAUGACGUUGGCGUCGUCGUCGUCGUCGUCGUCGUCGUCGUCCGGCGUCGUCUGGCGUCGUCCGAAGACACAUUGGUUUUCGCACUCUAACUUUAGUUUAAAUGAAUGGAUCUCCAUGAAAUUUCACCAUAAGGUUCAAUACCACAAAAGGAAGGUUGGGAUUGAUUUUGGGGGUUAUGGUACCAACAGUUAAGGAAUUAGGGGCCAAAAAGGGGCCAAAAAUAAGCAUUUUUGUAACUUUCAGACAAUAACUUGUGUGUAAGUGUAUGGAUCUCUCUGACAUUGUACCACAAGGUUCCAUAUCACAAAGGGAAGGCUGUAAUUGAUUUUGGGGGUAAUUGCCUCAAAAUUUUAGGAAUUAGGGGCCAAAAAAGGGGCAAAAAACAAGCAUUUUUCUAGUUUCAUGACAAUAACUUGUGUGUAAGUGUUUGGAUAUUUCUGAAAUUGUACUACAAGGUUCCAUAUCACAAAGGGAAAGCUGGAAUUGAGUUUGGGGGUAAUUGCCCGAAACGUUUAGGAAUUGGGGGCCAAAAAGGGGCCAAAAAUAAGCAUUUUUCUAGUUUCCAGACAAUAACUUGUGUUCAAGUGUAUGGAUCUCUCUGAAAUUGUACUGCAAGGUACCAUACCACAAAGGGAAGGCUGGGAUUGAGUUUGGGGGUGAUGAAUCAUAAGGGGUUUCAAAAAAUUGGGGGGGGGGAUUUUUUUUUUUUUUUUUUUUUCUUUUUUUCCUUUUUUUUUUCUUUUAAAAUUUUCCAUUUUAAGUUGGUUAUUUCUGAUUUAUAUUUAAAAGCAAAUAAUAAUGAUAUGGUAGGAGAUACACACCAAACAGGAUGUGUAAAUUAUUAUAUAAUAAGUAUUGUGCAAUAGCAAGAAAUUUUCAAUUGCACAGUAUUGCACAAUAGCAAGAAAUCUUCAAUUGCACAGUAUUGCGCAAUAGCAAGAAAUCUUCAAUUUAACAGUAUUGCGCAAUAGCAAGAAAUAUCCAAUAGCACAAUAUUGCGCAAUAGCAAGAAAUUGUCAAUUGUACAGUAUUGCGCAAUAGCAAGAAAUAUUCAAUUGCACAGUAUUGUGCAAAAGAAGAUACUUCGUAUAAAUUGCUUAUUUCUUGAUCAAUUUCAAUGGGGUUUUAUUCUUGAAUUCUUGGGGUUCUUUAAUAUGCUGAAUCUAACCGUGUAUUAAGUUUUUGGAUUUUGGGCCCCGUUUUUAAAUUGGUCCACAUUGAGGUCCAAAGGGUCCAAAAUUAAACUUUGUUUGAUUUCAUCAAAAAUUGAAUUAUUGGGGUUCUUUGAUAUGCCGAAUCUAACCGUGUAUUUAGAUUUUUAAUUUUGGGUCCCGUUUUUUAAAUUUGUCUACAUUAAGGUCCAAAGGGUCCAAAAUUAAACUUAGUUUGAUUUUAACAAAAAUUGAAUUCUUAGGGUUCUUUGAUAUGCUGAAUCUAAACAUGUGUUUAGAUUUUUGAUUAUGGGCCCAGUUUUCAAGUUGGUCCCAAGUUGGGGUCCAAAAUUAAACUUUGUUUGAUUUCAACAAAAAUUGAAUAUAUGGGGUUCUUUGAUAUGCUGAAUCUAAACAUGUAUUUAGAUUUUAGAUUUUUGGCCCAGUUUUCAAGUUGGUCCAAAUUGGGGUCCAAAAUUAAACUUUGUUUGAUUUCAACAAAAAUUGAAUAUAUGGGGUUCUUUGAUAUGCUGAAUCUUACCAUGUAUUUAGAUUUUUUAUUUGUGGGCCCGCUAUCAAAUUGGUUCAUAUUGAGGUCAAAAGGGUCCUAAAUUAAACUUUGUUUGAUUUCAUAAAAAAUUGAAUUAUUGGGGUUCUUUGAUAUGCCAAAUCUAACCGUGUAUUUAGAUUUUUAAUUUUGGGUCCUGUUUUUUUAAAUUGGUCUACAUUAAGGUCCAAAGGGUCCAAAAUUAAACUUAGUUUGAUUUUAACAAAAAUUGAAUUUUUGGGGUUCUUUGAUAUGCUGAAUCUAAACAUGUGUUUAGAUUUUUGAUUAUGGGACCAGUUUUCAAGUUGGUCCAAGUUGGGGUCCAAAAUUAAACUUUGUUUGAUUUCAACAAAAAUUGAAUAUAUGGGGUUCUUUGAUAUGCUGAAUCUAAACAUGUAUUUAGAUUUUAGAUUUUUGGCCCAGUUUUCAAGAUGGUCCAAAUUGGGGUCCAAAAUUAAACUUUGUUUGAUUUCAACAAAAAUUGAAUAUAUGGGGUUCUUUGAUAUGCUGAAUCUUACCAUGUAUUUAGAUUUUUUAUUUGUGGGCCCGCUAUCAAAUUGGUUCAUAUUGAGGUCAAAAGGGUCCAAAAUUAAACUUUGUUUGAUUUCAUCAAAAAUUGAAUUAUUGGGGUUCUUUGAUAUGCCAAAUCUAACUGUGUUUUUAGAUUUUUAAUUUAGUGUCCCGUUUUUUAAAUUUGUCUACAUUAAGGUCCAAAGGGUCCAAAAUUAAACUUAGUUUGAUUUUAACAAAAAUUGAAUUCUUCGGGUACUUUGAUAUGCUGAAUCUAAACAUGUGUUUAGAUUUUUGAUUAUGGGACCAGUUUUCAAGUUUGUCCAAGUUGGGGUCCAAAAUUAAACUUUGUUUGAUUUCAACAAAAAUUGAAUAUAUGGGGUUCUUUGAUAUGCUGAAUCUAACCGUGUAUUUUGAUUUUGGACAUUGGACCAUAAUAGGUAAAUUAAAAAAAUUGAAGUUCUUAGACCACAUUCUUUCUGUGUCAGAAACCUAUGCUGUGUCAAAUAUUUAAUCACAACCCAAAUUCAGAGCUGUAUCAAGCUUGAAUGUUAUGUCCAUACUUGCCCCAACUGUUCAGGGUUCGACCUCUGCGGUCGUAUCAAGCUGCGCCCAGCGAAGCAUUUUAUUGUAAAA